AAAAAAAAAAAAAAAAAAAAAAAAAAAAGUGGAGCGAAAGCUUCCCACAGCCAUCACAUGCAGAGACAGGAAACCUACCAGGGCGCACGUCACUGUCAAUGAAAGGUACCGCUGUGUGGACAGAAGUGAAACUGCCACCAGGCGGGGGGAAAAAAAGUUAGGGGACAUGUAAACAGAGACGCCGAACCUUCAUCAGCCUUAAAGGAGAGAGGGAAGAUGGACAGCGGGAGGAAACUCUUGAUUGUUAACGGCGGAGUGUCAUCGAGCUGAAAGAGGGAGGAGAAGCGAAGAAAAAGGGCGACAGAGGGAGGGAGAGAGUGACAGAGCGCCAGAGAAGGAGCAAAGAGAGAGAGAGAGAAAGAGAGAGAGAGAGAUGUACAACCCGACCACAGCAUCGCAUCAGAUCAGAAUCCAGCGCGUCUGAAUUUCUCUCUUCUCUCAUCUCCAGGUGAGGCAAAAGGUAAAAAGCCAACCCAGCAACUGCGGCAGAGGCAGGAGCAGCGUCAUGGAGCUGCUGCUCCAAAGACCCUCUUCCACCUCAAGUCCUGUUAUUUUAUCUGACAGCGCUUUUAUUUCUGCAGAGAGAAUAAAAAAGAAAUAAAGGUAGCCUACCCUGUUUAAACUUUCUCCACCUCUUUAGACACAGAAACUCGAGCAGACAACUCAGAACAAGAGAAGUUCUAAAAGUAUAUGACUAUGAUUGUAAGUGCUUGUUGAACGUGCCUCAUGCGCCACCUUUUGGACACAUUGAGAAAAACACCUUGGGGUGCUCUUCGUCCUGCAAAAUCAGACAAGAAUAAAUCAGCCUAUAUGUGUGGGCCUUGGAGUUUUUGAAGGAGGAGGGAAAAACAUCCCAUCUUAUUGCAAAAUAAGCAGAACAGAAGAUGCGAUUGGUCUUCGAGGAACCAGGGCCAGCAGGCUCUGUGGGCCCCCCCCCCCCCGAUCCUGGAGGAGAGACGCGAGCUGAGAGGAUGCAGCUGCAGAGGGAGGUGCAUCCUCUCUCUAUCUCUCUCAGGUGUUUUCAAAUCCUCACCCUUAUGUGGAGGAGCUAAAAUAAUUACUCUCCAAAUUAAGGAUAAAGACAUCACUUGGGAGGGAGCCUGCAACACAAAAGGCUUUCUGAGCAGGGCAGGGUGUGAGGGCAUCGCAUCGGUUAAAAAGUGCAUCACAUCCGAUCCGUAAAAGCGGCAGGGGGAUUCGUAAUGAACGCAACGCGAUAAAUAUUUGUGCUCAAAGCGGCGAUAUUCUGCAAAAGCAGCACGUGUGCUCCUUCUAUUCAAAAACACACUCCAUAUUAUUUUCCUUUUGAACCUGAAAGCUCAAUAUUUCUCAGAGCUUUCUUUUACAAUUGCAACGUGGAGAGAUAGUUCAUGAUUUAAAGAUAUGAAUUUUGUGCUUCAAGAAUCCAAAGUUAUUAGCUUCUACCUUCUCAGAUGAAAAUACACGGAAUUAAAAAUGCCUUUUGAGAUGGAGAACGCUUUGAACUUAAGAAACAUUUCAAGAAGGCCCCUCUCUCCUUUUUUGUAUUGAAAGUUCACCUCCUUUGAGCAUGCCAUAGUUUGGUUCUCAUUUUUUUUUUCUUCUUUCAAAUAAAAGAAUGAAGUUUAAUGGGUCAAGGCAAUCAAUGUUAAAGUUCAAAGAGAAUCUCGGAGAAUCUCGGUACUUAUUCUUUGUACACGAUUUGAAUAAAAAGAUAGCUGAUAAACAGCAUUAAUGAAACAUAAUGACGGGGGGAAAAAUGCUCUUUUUGGUGGAAAGUUAGGAUUCGACUUACAAGUUUGGGAUAUCAUCAGCAAAGGAAUGCUGGAUAAUAGUUAAGGAUAAAUAGUAAUUUCUGGCAUCACAUGAGGUAAAACGUACUCCCAUAUUCCCCCUUGGAUUUACAGAUCAUUUUAUUAUGUUGGACACGGAGACGAUUGGUGUUUAUUUUCACACUUACCACUUGUUUCUCAUAAGCAGCCGGCUCCAGAAUGAUUGGCUUCGGUUGUAAAACAUUGAUGUGCAAAUUUCCUUAAAAUAAGUUGUUUUUGGAGACAAGGGGAGCCGUGGACGCCACUUUUAGCCACAGUUCUGCUACAGAGAUCUCCCUCAGCAUUCUGCUCAUGUUGGUAAGAUAAAACUGGAUCAUUGUCCAGCCUUGUUUGUCACAGUUCCAUUUGUUUUAAAGCAUUUCAUCUAUUACUCUGUCUGCACAUAAAUCUAGCUGUUUGUAGCCUUUUUCUGGCUUAUGAAGGUCAACACACACCUGCUCUAGCUGAUUUCCAUUUUCAGCUUGAUUCUCAAAUUGUAGUUGGGCUGCCUUUAGUUGUACUGGUAUCUAUUAUUUGCAAAGUAAACACAAAACAGAUUAAUUAUGUUGUAGAUCUGAAAAAAAAAAAAAAACACAUCCAAAGUACGGCAGUAAACAUUUCUAUAAACUCUCGACCGAAACGGAUGACGGUGAACCAGGAAGCCAUGUUCCAAAAGGAUCUGGAGGAAGGACGUCAAACCCAGUGUGUUCCAGUUCCGGGUUUGAAAUCCAGUGGGAUUUGCUAAGCACGAUUAGCAAUGCAUGCUAAUAACGAUGUAUUUAUCUCCUGGAUGGUGCAGGUAGUAACA